CCAGCUCACAUUCAGAGGCAGCAUAAUUUAUGAAGCUCUGAGGACAGUGGGAGCCCUUUUCCCACUGGAAAUCAGGCCCAAGGUCUUAUGAAAACAGACUUUCUUUUCAAACAUCAGGAGGAAAUACUGCAAGAAGGAUGCCCAUGGCACUUUGAAUGUUCCGGAUCCACCAAUAUCAGAAAGAUCUUCACUGAGGUGGAGGAGCAGUGCAGUGGCCAAGAGAAAGAUGGGAUUGACAGAGGGAAAUAAAAAGAACUCUGAUAUGUAAUAGACUGGAUAAUCAGGAUACAGUAGGCCAUGGUCACAUUUGAGCUCCAGGUGGUGUCUGAUUGACUUGGAAACAGUACAAUAGGGGCAAAUUUUACCCUCACAUUUCCUGGCAACUUUGGGUUCAAAGAUAUUAGCUGUUACUUGACAUUCCCAUUGGCAAAAAUGAAGGGCAUGCCUCUGUUGACAAAGCAUGAAACGUCAUCUGUUGUGUCUGUAAUGCCAUAAAUGAGUCAUUGAUUCCACAGAAGAGCAAGAAAAAAGAGCAGGAAGGGCAGGAAAUGUUAGUUACCAUAUUUCUCCAUCAUCCAUGGCAUGUGAUGGGGCAGAACAUGUCACCAGGCAACAGUAACAUGGGGCUGUUUCUUGGCCUCUCAGCUCCAGUACUGGGAUAAUCUAUUAAAUCGUCUCACAACUU